AUUGAACGCUGGCGGCAUGCCUUACACAUGCAAGUCGAACGGUAACAGGUCUUCGGAUGCUGACGAGUGGCGCACGGGUGCGUAAUACAUCGGAACGUGCCCGAUCGUGGGGGAUAACGAAGCGAAAGCUUUGCUAAUACCGCAUACGAUCUACGGAUGAAAGCAGGGGACCGCAAGGCCUUGCGCGAACGGAGCGGCCGAUGGCAGAUUAGGUAGUUGGUGGGAUAAAAGCUUACCAAGCCGACGAUCUGUAGCUGGUCUGAGAGGACGACCAGCCACACUGGGACUGAGACACGGCCCAGACUCCUACGGGAGGCAGCAGUGGGGAAUUUUGGACAAUGGGCGAAAGCCUGAUCCAGUCAUGCCGCGUGCAGGAUGAAGGCCUUCGGGUUGUAAACUGCUUUUGUACGGAACGAAAAGACUCUGGUUAAUACCUGGGGUCCAUGACGGUACCGUAAGAAUAAGCACCGGCUAACUACGUG
rnacentral:rRNA from 1 species